GAGGUGGUCAAAUAAGAUAGUAAAAGCUGCUAACUUUAGCUAGAGGACAUUGUACCCUUCCCACCUCU
rnacentral:tRNA from 1 species